GGGGCCAUAGCUCAACUGGUAGAGCACCUCGAUGGCAUUGAGGUGGUUUGGGGUUCGAGUCCCCAUGGCUCCA
rnacentral:tRNA from 1 species